rnacentral:rRNA from 1 species
CCUACGGGUGGCAGCAGUGGGGAAUAUUGCACAAUGGGGGAAACCCUGAUGCAGCGACGCCGCGUGAGUGAAGAAGUAUUUCGGUAUGUAAAGCUCUGUCAGCAGGGAAGAAAAUGACGGUACCUGACCAAGAAGCCCCGGCUAACUACGUGCCAGCAGCCGCGGUAAUACGUAGGGGGCAAGCGUUAUCCGGAUUUACUGGGUGUAAAGGGAGCGUAGACGGCAGGGCAAGUCUAGAGUGAAAGGCGGGCGCUCAACCUCGGGACUGCUCUGGAAACUGCCAGGCUGGAGUGCAGGAGAGGAUAGUGGAAUUCCUGGUGUAGGAGUGAAAUGCGUAGAUAUCAGGAGGAACAUCAGUGGCGAAGGCGGCUUACUGGAACGUAACUGACGCUGAGGCGCGAAAGCGUGGGUAGCAAACAGGAUUAGAUACCCUUGUAGUC